rnacentral:rRNA from 1 species
GAUGAACGCUGGCGGCGUGCCUAAUACAUGCAAGUCGAACGAGUUCUUGUUGAUGAUCGGUGCUUGCACCAAGAUUCAACAUGGAACGAGUGGCGGACGGGUGAGUAACACGUGGGUAACCUGCCCUUAAGUGGGGGAUAACAUUUGGAAACAGAUGCUAAUACCGCAUAGAUCCAAGAACCGCAUGGUUCUUGGCUGAAAGAUGGCGUAAGCUAUCGCUUUUGGAUGGACCCGCGGCGUAUUAGCUAGUUGGUGAGGUAAUGGCUCACCAAGGCGAUGAUACGUAGCCGAACUGAGAGGUUGAUCGGCCACAUUGGGACUGAGACACGGCCCAAACUCCUACGGGAGGCAGCAGUAGGGAAUCUUCCACAAUGGACGCAAGUCUGAUGGAGCAACGCCGCGUGAGUGAAGAAGGCUUUCGGGUCGUAAAACUCUGUUGUUGGAGAAGAAUGGUCGGCAGAGUAACUGUUGUCGGCGUGACGGUAUCCAACCAGAAAGCCACGGCUAACUACGUGCCAGCAGCCGCGGUAAUACGUAGGUGGCAAGCGUUAUCCGGAUUUAUUGGGCGUAAAGCGAGCGCAGGCGGUUUUUUAAGUCUGAUGUGAAAGCCCUCGGCUUAACCGAGGAAGCGCAUCGGAAACUGGGAAACUUGAGUGCAGAAGAGGACAGUGGAACUCCUGGUGUAGCGGUGAAAUGCGUAAAUAUAUGGAAGAACACAAGUGGCGAAGGCGGCUGUCUGGUCUGUAACUGACGCUGAGGCUCGAAAGCAUGGGUAGCGAACAGGAUUAGAUACCCUGGUAGUCCAUGCCGUAAACGAUGAAUGCUAGGUGUUGGAGGGUUUCCGCCCUUCAGUGCCGCAGCUAACGCAUUAAGCAUUCCGCCUGGGGAGUACGACCGCAAGGUUGAAACUCAAAGGAAUUGACGGGGGCCCGCACAAGCGGUGGAGCAUGUGGUUUAAUUCGAAGCAACGCGAAGAACCUUACCAGGUCUUGACAUCUUUUGAUCACCUGAGAGAUCAGGUUUCCCCUUCGGGGGCAAAAUGACAGGUGGUGCAUGGUUGUCGUCAGCUCGUGUCGUGAGAUGUUGGGUUAAGUCCCGCAACGAGCGCAACCCUUAUGACUAGUUGCCAGCAUUUAGUUGGGCACUCUAGUAAGACUGCCGGUGACAAACCGGAGGAAGGUGGGGAUGACGUCAAAUCAUCAUGCCCCUUAUGACCUGGGCUACACACGUGCUACAAUGGAUGGUACAACGAGUUGCGAGACCGCGAGGUCAAGCUAAUCUCUUAAAGCCAUUCUCAGUUCGGACUGUAGGCUGCAACUCGCCUACACGAAGUCGGAAUCGCUAGUAAUCGCGGAUCAGCACGCCGCGGUGAAUACGUUCCCGGGCCUUGUACACACCGCCCGUCACACCAUGAGAGUUUGUAACACCCGAAGCCGGUGGCGUAACCCUUUUAGGGAGCGAGCCGUCUAAGGUGGGACAAAUGAUUAGGGUGAAG